GCAUCGUUAAGUGCGGAGGGGCGCGCCGGCAGCCUCGCCCUCUGACCUUUAUCGCGGCCCUGGGUACCAGGCCUGGGUUGCGCAGAGGGUCGGCGGGUGUCUUUUGCUUGUGGGGACAGCGGUCUGCGGGCGCGGGGAGUAGCGCGUGAGCUCUGGAGGGUCUUCGCCUUCCCUAGGCCUUCCCGAUGUGGACGCUGGACACCCCACAGACCUUGCUUGGGGCCCGGAGAGCGCGAUGCUGGAGGAAGACUUACUGCCACAAUUCUGAUUUGCUAAUACUGUUGUGUCACAAUCCAAGGGCUCAGAGGUGAGGAAGCAUACAUGACUUUUAGAGAAAUGAAUUGUGAAAUUUGAACUCCGUUACUUCAUAGUACAAGAAUCCAAAACAUUUUUUUCUUUUCUUCUUUUUUUCCUUUUUAAAGAUUUAUUUAUUUAUUAUUAUAUAAGUACACGGUAGCUGUCUUCAGACACACCAGAGGAGGGCACAGAUCUCAUUACAGAUGGUUUGAGUCACCAUGUGUUUGCUGGGAUUUGAACUCUGGACCUCAGGAAGAGCAGUCAGUUCUCUUAGCCACUGAGCCAUCUCUCCAGGGCCCUGAAGAACAAUUUUCAAGGCAAUUCUUCAAAGAACAAUUUUGAAAGAUUCCUCAAAAUGUUAUUAUAGUUGCUAAAAUGUGUUUGCAAAUCUGAGUUGUUAAUAGACAAUCACCACUAUGAAAAUAAUCUGAAGAAUGUGUUUGUAAAAGGUCAGGAGGAAUUUUGUUAUAUUUAGCAUCUAGAAUGGAAUUCUCAAAGCUAGUUGCUAAUAAAGGCAAUGUUCUCUGGGAUCUAGAGUCCCAAAGCAGUUGACAAACUAAGACCUUUGGAAGUUAAGCUUUAGGACAGGUCGCUGCUGCCUGACCAUGUUUUCCCAGCACAGCCCAGGAAGCUAAAGGAUGAAACCUGGACCAAAACACUAAAAACACUCGGACUGGCAUUUCAGGAGACUUUUUGUUAGGGACUUAAAUGGAAGGUUCUGGAUUUUCUGCUGUACUUAGAUGCUGAUAUGGUUUGAAAACAUAGCAUUAGUUGUUUAAGGGGUUCUAUUCUAGAUGGAUGAAGUUAGUAUAGAUAGGCAGCAGGUUGUUUGCUAUUUAUUAACAGGGUUGUGUGCUCUAGGCUGGCCUCAGAGUUGUUAUUUAGCUCAUGCUGGUCUUGAAUUGGAAAUCCUCCUGUCUCUGUCUUCCCAGGCUUGUUAUUAAAGGUAUAUGCCAACAUGGCUAGAAAGGAGAAUUCACAUUUUAAUUGCAGAUAAAUCAGAGUGUCUGUGAAAUCAGCCUAUCACUAGGCUCUGCCAUGUUACCAGUGGUGUAAGUCAGUUGUCAAAACCUAAAUCCUAAGUGGGAAAAUUGAAUGUGCUUCAUGGAUUAGUGUGUGUACAGGUUAUGCACUAAGACAGAGCAUGGCUGUUGUAAGAACAUGUUAGCACUGUUGCUGCUGCUGGUUAAAACAGAUUUUAAUAAAAUUUAAAUUAAUUUUUUUGUAUGUGUUGGUGUUUUUUACUUUGUGGGAGUCUUUUUUCCACCCUUUCCACCCUUUUCUUCCACCUCUUUAACACCCUAACACUAGUUAAGAGAGAAAAAAGGAUGUAUGUUUGUAUGUAUGUAUAUGUAGAACCUGUGUGCCUGGUGCCCAUGGAGCCAGAAGAGAGCAUUGGAUCCUCUGGAAGUAGAAUUAUUGAUGGUUGAGAGCAGCCGUAUGUGUGCUAGGAACUGAACCCAGGUCCCUUGCAAGAGCAAGUGCUGUUAGCCACUGAAGAAUUCCUCCAGCCCCAUGUAUUAUUUCUUUUUUAAAAAGUUUUCACAUAAGGAGUGACUUGGGAAUUGAAAAAGCAGAAAGCCUUAACCACGGCUUGUAGACAUUAUGUAGUGAAAUGUGGGGAAAGGUAGGUUUGUCAUAUAUCCUAGCAUUUUAGGGUGCUUAACAUUUUUUAAAUGUUUAUUUGUUAUUUAUUGUCUGAGGUGUGCAUUGGCACAUGCAGAGGUCAGAAGGUAACUUGCAGAGUGGCUGCUUUUUUCUGCCUGUAAGACCCUGGAGUUUGCAAUGAGCUUGGUGGUAAACACCUUUACCCAUUGAGCCAUCUUGCUGGUAUAUGUUGGAGAAACAAUAUUUUAUUUUAAAGACUCAGUUACUUCUCAAUUUAUGACUUCUUGAAAUCCAUUUUCCCCUACAAAGUUAAUUUUAUUCAAAAUACUUUGCAUUUGCAUGCAUUAGCAUAUGUCCUUUUUUAAACAAUUUUUUAUUAGAUAUUUUCUUUAUUUACAUUUCAAAUGCUAUCCUGAAAGUCCCCUAUACCCUCCCUAGGCCUUGCUCCCCAACCCACCCACUCCCACUUCUUGGCCCUGGCGUUCCCCUGUACUGAGGCAUAUAAAGUUUGCAAGACCAAGGGGCCUCUCUUCCCAAUGAUGGCCGACUAGGCCAUCUUCUGCUACAUAUGCAGCUAGAGGCACGAGCUCUGGGGGUACUGGUUAGUUCAUGUUGUUGUUUAUGACUUAAUACCCUUUAAAAAUGUUAGUUUGCUAUCUUUGACUCGGGGUCUUACAGGUUGUUGCUUCCUGUAAGAGGUACCACCAUCUGCCAAGUUAAGUUUCUUGCCUAAGGUAACAUAGUUAGGUGUAGGGCUUGGUAGUGUGAGUCAUGUAAAUUUUUCCUCUCAUGUUGCAUAAUGUCUUUAAGGAUAGAAUUAAUGCAUUAAUUUAAAGUCGUUACAGGUUCUUAUAUUGACAUGUUUUGGUUUUAAUAAUUAGAUUUUAUCUAUCCUUAUUUCUUGAUAUUUUUUUUUCUUUUUUUUCUUUUUGUAAAGACAGAGUUUCACUGUAUCCUGGAACUCAGUGUGUAGAGCAAGAUGACCUUGAACUCACAGAGAUCCUGGGCUUUCUUGAGGACUGGGAUUAAGGGCGUGUACCACCACUUGAGGCUCAGUUUUCUUAUGUAAUUAUAAA